GACGAACGCUGGCGGCGUGCUUAACACAUGCAAGUCGAACGGAAAGGCCCCCACUUUUUUGGUGGGGGUGCUCGAGUGGCGAACGGGUGAGUAACACGUGGGUGAUCUGCCCUGUACUUCGGGAUAAGCUUGGGAAACUGGGUCUAAUACCGGAUAGGACCAUGGUUUAGUGUCUCAUGGUGGAAAAAUUAUUGUUUUGGUGCAGGAUGAGCUCGCGGCCUAUCAGCUUGUUGGUGGGGUAAUGGCCUACCAAGGCGUCGACGGGUAGCCGGCCUGAGAGGGUGGACGGCGACAGUGGGACUGAGAUACGGCCCAGACACCUACGGGAGGCAGCAGUGGGGAAUGUUGCACAAUGGGCGCAAGCCUGAUGCAGCGGCGCCGCGUGGGGGAUGACGGCCUUCGGGUUGUAAACUCCUUUCGUUAGGGACGAAGCCGCACCUUUUUUGGGUGUGGUGACGGUACCUUUGUUAAGAAGCACCGGCUAACUACGUG
rnacentral:rRNA from 1 species